rnacentral:rRNA from 1 species
GAGUUUGAUCAUGGCUCAGGACGAACGCUGGCGGCGUGCCUAAUACAUGCAAGUCGAGCGGGCCGAACGAGAGCUUGCUCUUGUUCGGUCAGCGGCGGACGGGUGAGUAACACGUGGGCAACCUGCCCGCAAGACCGGGAUAACUCCGGGAAACCGGAGCUAAUACCGGAUAACACCAAAGACCGCAUGGUCUUUGGUUGAAAGGCGGCUUCGGCUGUCACUUGCGGAUGGGCCCGCGGCGCAUUAGCUAGUUGGUGAGGUAACGGCUCACCAAGGCGACGAUGCGUAGCCGGCCUGAGAGGGUGACCGGCCACACUGGGACUGAGACACGGCCCAGACUCCUACGGGAGGCAGCAGUAGGGAAUCUUCCGCAAUGGACGAAAGUCUGACGGAGCGACGCCGCGUGAGCGAAGAAGGCCUUCGGGUCGUAAAGCUCUGUUGUGAGGGACGAAGGAGCGCCGUUUGAAUAAGGCGGCGCGGUGACGGUACCUCACGAGAAAGCCCCGGCUAACUACGUGCCAGCAGCCGCGGUA